rnacentral:lncRNA from 1 species
UGCAUGCGCUCGCAUCAUGGCGGCUGAGUGGGCUUCUCGUUUCUGGCUUUGGGCUACGCUGCUGAUUCCUGCGGCCGCGGUCUACGAAGACCAAGUGGGCAAGUUUGAUUGGAGACAGCAAUAUGUUGGGAAGGUCAAGUUUGCCUCCUUGGAAUUUUCCCCUGGAUCCAAGAAGUUGGUUGUAGCCACAGAGAAGAAUGUGAUUGCAGCAUUAAAUUCCCGAACUGGGGAGAUCUGUGAGUGAACUGAGAACUGUGUCUACUGGCUGCCUCAGGGAUGAAAGACUUACCAUUGCCAACUCUGCCUGGCUGAUUCCUGAAUAAGGAACAUGUUGGCCAAAAGAUGCCUCUCCUAGUGGAUUCUGAUACUUUUUUUUUUUCAGUCUUACCAUCUUUGAAUAUUUUGUGGCGCCAUGUUGACAAGGGCACGGCAGAAGGGGCUGUGGAUGCCAUGCUGCUGCACGGACAGGAUGUGAUCACUGUGUCCAAUGGAGGCCGAAUCAUGCGUUCCUGGGAGACUAACAUCGGGGGCCUGAACUGGGAGAUAACCCUGGACAG